rnacentral:misc_RNA from 1 species
UACGUAGGGGGCGAGCGUUGUCCGGAAUCAUUGGGCGGAUAGAGCUCGUAGGCGGUUCAGCAAGUCGGCUGUGAAAGUCCGAGGCUCAACCUCGGAACUGCAGUCGAUACUGCUGUGAAUCGAGUCCGGAAGAGGAGAAUGGAAUUCUCGGUGUAGCGGUGAAAUGCGCAGAUAUCGAGAGGAACACCAGUAGCGAAGGCGGUUCUCUGGGCCGGCACUGACGCUGAGGAGCGAAAGCAUGGGUAGCAAACAGG